CCGGAUCCACUCAGGCUGAAUGGUAGAUAAAAGGCCACAGGGCUACCCCUUCUUGCACUGGCCCCGGAGGGGGAUCUUCUACUGUCAUUAUCGAUCUAUUCUCUUUGCUUCCCAAAGUUUUUCCGACACGCUCUGUCUCAUUGGUGCCACAUGGAGGGCGGUCCCAGCCUGUGGCUGCCACAGCCUUCGAGUUACCAACCACAGCUUGACGUUGUCGUACCUGUAUCUUCUAUCCGUUGCCGUUUAUUUCAUUCUCUCUUCCCUCCACCUUCAUAUAUUUCCGGACCCCACUUAGCUGAGCCCUAGAAAGGCACUGGGUCUGUCGCCACCCUGGCCACAGCUACAGAAAACGCUGGAAGAAGUCCGAGUGGACAGGAACAGCGGGACGUCUCUCUCUGGGAUUCCCUCCUCACCCGUGGUCCCCAGCCCAAAGCCACUCCUCUUGACUUCUCUUUACGUUAUCCUAAGUAUUCCCACCAGGGACUCAAGCACAUGAGUUUUCAGAAUUCCACUUAGUAUAACCCGUGCCUGGCAUUUAUCAAGCAAAGGGGAGAGACCACCAAGGAAGGAGCCACAUAGAGAAUAACUACAGUCACGGUCCCAACAAACAAACAAAAAACGGGUUUCAGAUAGUGGUGAUAAUAUACCCUCCGCUUCCAGAGGACAAGCUCAGGGUCCCAGGAGUCACUGCCUCAGCGCUUUGCAAGUCUGGAGCGCCUCGCCGUCCAGGGUGCACGUGACCAAGGACGACUAGACAUGCGGGCGAUGGAGGCUGUGGCCUGCUCCGGGAAGGAAAUGCUGACCCGACCAGCCGGGUAGCUUGGUUUUAAUCUUGUCUAGAUUUCUAUCUAAUUCAUAUUCCUCUGGUGCCUACAAAAGAAGAACGCUGACUUCACACACAUCCUUUCGAAGCCCAUAAAGAAUAAUCCUCUUACCAUGACUUACCCGUAGGAUAAGACUUUCCCUACCUUUUAGGGGUUACGAUAUACCCGGUAAGGGAUGAAAGAGAGAUAACAAGAUCUGGGGACACAUCUACGUGGGGCUGAACAACUAACUGGACCCCAAGAACAUUCCCGAGGUCAGCUCUAUUUACGCCGAAAAAUUUGAUGAACAGAUUAAAUGCUCUCACUUUUCACUCAAAUUUAGAGGCCUGGUAUAAAGACAGCUAUAGAUUUAUGGAAACGGUAGAGUUAUCGGAAAGCGCUGUAGGAUACUAGAUUUAUACCAGCCGCUGAUAAUGCAGCACAGUCUGGCGGCAGUUCCUGGUGGCUGACGUCUGAGGAAAUAGACGGCAACACCCAACUGCAGAUGGCUCCUGAUAACUGGCCAUCUCUUUUCCGAGUGGCCAGAAGUGUUAUUUCGGGAGCACGACACAGAGCAGACCAUCUGUUAAGGUUCUGGGGGAAGCUUCAGUUGGUCAUACGUGGCGAAGGCAGCCAAUGAGGCAGAACUCGAGCACGGCCGUGGACGUGCCAGAGAUCGCCGAACCCCCCGUGCUGACCGCAAGGGAAGGGCUCUGAGCUCCAGGGAUCACGGACACUCCGAGGGAAGGGGCUGAGGGCUGCUGGGGUGUCUGCUGGGCCUCUCCCAGGCCUCCGUUGUCCCCGUGUCUUGGAAACUGGGAAACGUGUUGCUUUGCUGUCUAUUUUUGGUACCAGAGGACUGUGGCCUUUCCCGAACAAGCGUGUCUCUCAUGUUAACAGUGUGCGAGCAGACGUGCCCUGGGAAGGCUGGUUCAAGGCUAACGGGGCAAGAAUUACAACACACAGCGAGUAACUGUAAUUUAAAGCGAAGCCUGCAGAUCUUCUCAAACCUUUAUCCCAAGCGUGAAGUUUUGUUUUCAAUGCUUGAAAGGCCAGAGUUGUCUUUGUAAACAGAGACUGGGCCUCAGCAGGCCAGAGCAGGGGGUCGUCUGACCUCGGCCAUCACUGGCCAGGCCCUGACGGGCUCUGGCAUUCACCUGCUCUCGUCUCCAGCACGUCCCUCGCCCCGGAAAGUUCAGAGUGCGCUUCAUAUGUCUUGCAAAGCAACAGCGAUGGGGUCUAAGUAAUUGUCGAGCAGCACAAGAAGAAGGCGGGCAUAACAAAGUUAAGGUGCAUGACUUUCACACUGGACAUCUCAUACUUGCUUGAGAAUCUGGAAAAAGCAGCAGACUUUGAUUUCGGAAAAACACACAAUGUGCAACAUCAAACUGCCCUCCACAUAAAUGGAGAGGACAAAUUCUUUUUUUUUUUUUUUAGUUUGUUUAUUUAUUUUGAGAGAGACAGAGUGUGAGUGGCAGAGGGGCAGAGAAAGAAGAAGAAUGUCAAGCAGGCUCUGUGCUGUCAGCACAGAGCCCACGCGGGACUCGAACUCACGAAAUCGUGAGACCAUGAACCAAACCCAGUGGAAAUUGGGAGUCAGAUACCCAAGCCGCUGAGCCACCCCCGGGGGGCCCCAAGAGGACAGAUUCUUUAAUGGGAAGUAUCAGAGGAGGUAACAACACAAACAGAAAGCAGCAAGACCUUUUUUUGUUUCACUCAUUAAUACACUGACUCUUGUUUCACGCCCACUAAGUGCUGGAGCAUUCUGGGCACUUUGGGAAUGCAAAGCAAAUAUAAGGCAUCCCUUUUGCCAUCCAGAAGUUCAGUGCAGUGAAGGUAGACAUGCCUGCAAAUCAUUCUCUUUUGUUUUUUAAUUUCAAAAUCAUCAUAAACUUAUAGGAAAGUUGCAGGUACAAGAUGAAGACAUUUUUCUUCCAUCGCUUAAUGCGAAGUUGCCGAUCUGUCGUCCCAACUCUGAUAACCAUGUCUCUUAUUUUCUGUAUUCUGAUGCUCUGACAGCUGGGGUCUUGCUGCCCCUGGAGGGGCCGCCCCCAGCAGGGUAGCCCGUUCCUAAAGAUGACGAACAACCCGCAUCGAGCAUGCUUUUCAAUGCAAACCGACCAAGCCAGAGUCCGCACCCAUGAUCUACACCAAACGCCUGAUCACCCCAAAGCAGGUACCAGACAAGAAGGACAGCUUCUCUGCCCGAGAGCCUACUGAUAGUUCAAAACAGCCAAUCCCAGGCCCGCUCGCCCUGCCUCGCCUGUUCUUCCCAUGGAAGCGAGAGUAAAAGCUCUGGUCUACAUUUUCCCUUCACUCCCUCUGCUUCCUUACAGACACUGCUUCCCCUUGUGGGCCUGUGUGGGGUGCCACGGCUCCCAGAGACUAUAACCAGCUAGAUGGAUCUUCGACGGCAGUCUCUCGUUCCCGUACCUAAAUGCUAACAAAACCUGUUAAACCGCGGUCAUCUGCGACUACUUCCUCCAGAAUUGACUGUUUCUCCCAGGAGUCCUGUAUCUUUUGAGAGGAUGAUGGUAUUGAGAAGUCAAGCCCCAGGCACUGGAUGUGUUCAUUUCCAUGGGGGUGUUGCCGCUCCUGGCCUUCUUGGGGAGCAGAAGGAGGAAGCAUCGGAUCAUCAGUUCCACAUGAAGCCAAAAGGUCCACUUUUUUUUUUCUUUUUUUCUUAACAUCUAAACUGGCUUCGAAUGGAGACAGACUUCUCCUUUACUUAUUUCCAUCUUACUUUUUUUACAAACUAGUAUCCGUGAGGUGCAUUUUAUGCUACGUAACACAAGGGCAUGAUUUGACCGUAGUUUCUUUUUGCCACGAGGGGUUGGCACAAAGCUUCUCUCUGCAUCAGGUUCCACUGCACCAGCUCAGCGAGGAGGAGUGUGCAGUGCCCGGGCUCAGGCCGCAGAGCUGGGCUGUUUGGGGCAAGACUCACGAUCUUGCUGGCAUGAUCCUCUCCUCUGCCGUGAAAUGGAAGAAUUGCCCCCGUCAGGGCGCCUAGUGCCUGGAGAACGCUCAACAAUAAACAACUUCGUGCCGAAUACUUGUGGGAAUCAGAGAGAGAGAGAGUGUGGCCAAAAGCCCCCGCAACGGUACCCGCCAGCCUGAGAGAAGAAUCGAGAAAAGGGGCAGUAGAGAAAGCGAUAGAUGGCAAGCUUUAUCAUUUCUGGCGAUGGGCCUUGGUGAUAGGGUUAAGGAAUUGGUGCAGAAGAGCGGAAGUCAAAAAUUAGGGGAACUGCCACCCGUUUUCUUUAGAUAAACCGUAUCUUUAUAUGAAGAAGGUAGAUUACACAGAGCAUCAUGCUUUUCCUUUGGUUCCAUUGCGCACCCCGGACGGGCAUCCCGUCCUCAGACCCGGCUCUGCGUCCCCCUAAAUCCCGGGGAGUCGUGCCUCCCUGGCCACCGCAGUAAAGCGGUCUGGGGGACACACUACCCCAGGGUGGCCAGCGGGCACCUUCCCGUGUGCAUGAAAGUUCACUGAACUCGCCCCCCUGCCCCCACCCCCGGCCUUGUUCUCUUCCCUUCCAUCAGCAGCUCAGAGCUGAGCUGUCCACUAAGCUCUCCUCCACGCCGUCCAAAGGCACUCGUCCCCGGACUCUGAAUUAGACACGGCAGAAAAGAGUCUGCAAGGUCAAACGCAGAGUAGUUCCUCUUUCGGUAUCAAAAUAAAGCAUUCCUUGCAUUUCCCUGAAAUUUCUUCUUCCUCUUCUCCCGCUUCUCCUUCUCCUUUGAGACCCUCCGGGGAGAAUUUCCCACGAGCCGAGCUACGCUACAUCCUCAACAGGCUGGGGCUCGGUGAGACCCCACUGAAGUCGCGGUCUGCUCGUUUUAAAACACCAAAACCCGAAGUUUAGCGAGUCCGGAGGUUCCCGAGCUUGGGGCGCGCCUGGGUGGC